rnacentral:rRNA from 1 species
UACGUAGGGUGCAAGCGUUGUCCGGAAUUAUUGGGCGUAAAGAGCUCGUAGGCGGUCUGUCACGUCGGCUGUGAAAACUCGGGGCUCAACCCCGAGCCUGCAGUCGAUACGGGCAGACUAGAGUGCUGUAGGGGAGACUGGAAUUCCUGGUGUAGCGGUGAAAUGCGCAGAUAUCAGGAGGAACACCGGUGGCGAAGGCGGCGACCUGGUCCUUUACUGACGCUGAGGCGCGAAAGCUAGGGGAGCAAACGGG